GGCUGCAUAUGGAAAUUUCCAGGCUAGAGGUCAAAUUGGAGCUGUAGCUGCCAGCCUACGCUACAACCAUAGCAAUACCGGAUGCAAGCCACGUCUGCGGACUCCACCACAGCUCAUGGCUGGAUCCUUAACCUACUGAGCGAAGCCAGGGAUUGAAUCCAAAUCCUCAUGGAUAAUAGUUGGAUUCAUUUCCACUGAGCCAUGACAGGAACUCCAGGAACUUCCAAUUUAAAUGUUGUCUUCAUAAACAAAAAUUUCAAACAAAUCACUAAGAGAAAAUAUUUGCAACCCACAUGACAGAAAAGGGCUUACAUUCCUAAAAGAAUUAUUACAGGGAGUUCCCGUCGUGGCGCAGUGGUUAACGAAUCCGACUAGGAACCAUGAGGUUGCGGGUUCAGUCCCUGCCCUUGCUCAGUGGGUUAACGAUCCGGCGUUGCCGUGAGCUGUGGUGUAGGUUUCAUAAUCACUACCAGCAGCUACGGCUCCGAUUCAACCCCUGGCCUGGGAACCUCCAUAUACCGCAGGAGCGGCCCAAGACAUAGCAAAAAGACCAAAAAAAAAAAAAGAAUUAUUACAAAUUGACAACCUAAUAGAAGAAUGGGCAAAAUAUAUGAAUAGGUAUUUCACAGAAGAAACAAAAUUUGCCAAUAAACAUUUGAGACAAUAUGCAGCCUCAUUAUUUAUUAGGCAAAUGCAAAUUAAAAUAAGUUACUGUUUUUUCACCUAUCAGAUAAGCAAAAGUUUUGAGAAUUCAUCGUAUCCGUUAUCUGUAUAGGGAGAAAGAGUGCUUUCCUGUAUUGUGUGUACAAUGUUUUGGGAGGAUAGUUAAAUACAUUUUUAAAUUAUUGUAGGUUUCUAAUUACUUUAGUAUGUGUAUUCCAUUGGGUGUAUAUUAAAAGAAAGAUACAGUAAUUUCAUUUUAAAAUAUCAAGAUUUCUAAUAAAAUGUUAUUCAAAGUUACAAUGAAACCUUUAUAUGUCAGCUCUAAAAUGGAGGUACAUGGAGUUUGGGCAUUAUUUUGGCAAAAAGAUUCGAAGACCAGAGGCAUCCUCUCUCUCUUCCCUGGCUUCUGAAAUGAUCACGCUGUUACUACCAAAACCGACCUCUACCUUCUUAGAUCCAAGGACCUUGAGACAUCACCUCACUUGACUCCUUGUCAACCUUUAUACUGUUAAUCAUGUCCUCCUUCCUAAGACGGGCGUGACUUGACUUUACACCAACUCUCUUACUCUCCUCUUUGUACUAUACUUUUAUUUAUAGGAUGUUUGGUUUUGCUUUGGAAUGUAGAGGGUGCAGACUUCCAAGAGAGACUAUUUCUGGAAAUCGUAUUGGAAUUUCUGUUGUAUUUUCUUAAAG
rnacentral:lncRNA from 1 species